rnacentral:rRNA from 1 species
GAUGAACGCUAGCGGCAGGCCUAAUACAUGCAAGUCGAACGGACCGCAAGGUCAGUGGCGAACGGGUGCGUAACGCGUAAGGAACCUGCCCCUCACUGGGGGAUAGCUUUGCGAAAGCGAAGGUAAACCCGCAUGGUUCAGUCGAACGGCAUCGUUCGACCGAUAAACAUUUAUGGGUGAGGGAGGGUCUUGCGUCUGAUUAGUUAGUUGGCAGGGUAACGGCCUACCAAGACGAUGAUCAGUAGGGGUUCUGAGAGGAACGGCCCCCACAUGGACACUGAGACACGGGUCCAACUCCUACGGGAGGCAGCAGUAGGGAAUAUUGGGCAAUGGGCGAGAGCCUGACCCAGCCAUGCCGCGUGCAGGAAGAAGGCCCUCUGGGUUGUAAACUGCUUUUAUCGGGGAAGAACACGGCCCUUGCGAGGGUCAUUGACGGUACUCGAGGAAUAAGCACCGGCUAACUCCGCGCCAGCAGCCACGGUAAU